rnacentral:rRNA from 1 species
UACGAGGGUGCAAGCGUUAAUCGGAAUUACUGGGCGUAAGGGGAGCGCAGGCGGACAGGUCAGUUUAAAGUGGAAUCCCAGGGCUCAACCCUGGACGUGCUUUGGAUACUGCCUGUCUUGAGUUCGUGAGAGGAAAGUGGAAUUCAGGGUGUAGCGGUGAAAUGCUUAGAUAUCCUGAGGAACACCAGUGGCGAAAGCGACUUUCUGGCACGAAACUGACGCUGAGGCUCGAAAGCAUGGGUAGCGAACGGGAUUAGAAACCCCAGUAGU